GUGGGGAAUCUUGCGCAAUGGGCGAAAGCCUGACGCAGCCAUGCCGCGUGAAUGAUGAAGGUCUUAGGAUUGUAAAAUUCUUUCACCGGGGACGAUAAUGACGGUACCCACAGAGGAAGCACCGGCUAACUCCGUGCCAGCAGCCGCGGUAAGACGGAGGGUGCAAGCGUUGUUCGGAAUUACUGGGCGUACAGCGUAUGUAGGCGGCAAGUUAAGUUCAAUGUUAAAGCCCACGGCUCAACCGAGGAGAUGCAUUGAAUACUGGCUAGCUAGAGGGUGUUAGAGGAAGACGGAAUUCCCAGUGUAGCGGUGAAAUGCGUAGAUAUUGGGAGGAACAUCGGUAGCGAAAGCGGUCUUCUGGGACAUACCUGACGCUGAGGUACGAAAGCGUGGGGAGCAAACGGGAUUAGAAACCCGUGUAGUCC
rnacentral:rRNA from 1 species